CCUGUGAUGUCGACAGCAGUUCCUCUCUAUCUUGUUCAGUCACAAUUUGGGACCCAGAGCAGAAACAUCCAGAUAACCCCGAAGCUUUGCUCAGCAACCCUCUUAUCUCAGCAACCGGACAUAUUAUAUUUCCCGAAAUGCAACGCUGGGCGUUCACAUCAUCAGCGUCUGCAUUUCAGGCGACAAAGCGCGAGUGGCGACGACGCUCCCAGCUCCGCCGGGCAGAAGCGUUUUGGAGGAUGCUACUUUAUUUGCUCCUGUAUCCAGUCCUGCUGAUAGGAAGGAGUGAAGCUCAGAAUGAUGAUUGGAUUGAUCCAACAGACAUGUUGAAUUAUGAUGCAGCAUCAGGAACAAUGCGAAAGCCUGACGAGCAUGUGAAUCAGGAUAAUUUUGAAAAUAAUAGAUUACCAUCAACAAAAGUGGCUGAAGAAAAUCUAAUGGAAAUUUCCAGGUGCCAAACAAAACUAGAUUCUGUAACUCAUAAGCUUGAUGAAUAUGAAAAAAAAUAUAAAGUAAAAUUACAUGAAAGCAACAGCAUUCAUGUUUUUAGAAGAUACUUGAACAAGAUUUUAAAUGAAGUUGGAAGACUUGGACUACCCAAUGAUAAUACCAGGGAAGUGCAUUAUGAUGCUGAGAUCAUUCUCACCAGACAAUCAGUUAAUGAAAUUAACAAGUUCCUUAAGGAAGAAGACUGGAAAUCUGCAUCUCUAGAUGAAGCUGUUAAUAGUAUCCUGAUUAAUUGUAGACCUCAUGAUUAUGAAGCAUGGAAAUGGAAAUUUGAAGACACAUUUGGGGUUGAUCCAUAUAAUGUCUUCAUGGUUCUUUUGUGUUUAGCAAGCAUCUUAGUCAUUAUUGCAACAGAAUUAUGGACGCAUGUUAGUUGGUUGACUCAGAUGAAGCGUCUUAUGAUCAUCAGUUUUCUCAUCAGUUUUGGAUGGAACUGGAUGUACCUCUAUAAGAUGGCCUUCGCUCAGCACCAGUCAGAAGUGGCCAAAAUGGGAAAUGUUGAUACAGUCUGUGUGGAAAAGAUGAAAUGGACAGACAGCUUUUGGGAGUAUCUUAGAACUUCAUUUACAUUCCAAGAUGAUCCUUGCCAAAAGUACUAUGAAACCCUCCUGGUAAAUCCGAUUUUGUUUGUUCCUCCAACAAAGGCCCUGGCUGUUACAUUUACCAAUUUUAUAACAGAACCACUGAAGCACGUUGGACAAGGAAUUGGUGAAUUUAUUAGAGCUCUCAUGAAAGAAAUUCCAAUACUUCUACAGAUUCCAGUGCUGAUCAUAAUGGCAGGAGCAACUUUGAUUUUCUGCUACGGGGCAGGAAGAUCUGUCACUGCUCUAAGAAGUUUACCAUACCAGGAAAGGCCACAGCCUCCUGCUCUUCCUCCAAGGGAUGGAAAUCAAUCACCACCAAUGCUUCAGCCAAAGCAGAGUGGGGCAGAUGGCAAGGCAGGCUACUUGACUGGAAACACAGAGUCCAUCCCAGGAGGUCCUUAUGACAGAGGAGAUGCAUCAAGAAGAGACAUGCAAACCAAAUCCGACUGUGACCGUAAACACAACAUAGAGGUUGUGCAAGCUGGUAGUACACUGGAUGUACCAGCAGAAGAACAUUCCAAGUUGGCAACCAAGAAUGAAUUGAAUCCUAAAGAAGAGAAGCAGGCUAAUGAUGUAAUGGAGAAAACCAACACAGAUUCAGACCUGGAUAAAACAAACAUUGUUGAACCUAGCCAAGUACCAAAGCAUCCAGAAAGUAAUGGAAAUGAAACAAAACAUAGCAGCAGUGAAGACGGGAUUGUGAAACAAAAUGUUCCGGAAGCCCCAGAGUUUCAAGGGAAAGAGAAAUGUGGAUUGGAAGAAUCCAGAGAGAGGAUUAUAGAAACCUUGAACCCAUCUGUUUCGACUCCAGAAGACAAAAGGAUCAUUCAACAAAGGGAUUGGUCAUCCUUCUUGCAACUGCACUGGACCCUUUUAAAGGAUAGCUGGAAGGCAACAACGUUCCAUGUUUCAUUGUACACUCUGUGAUGCAACAUGAUGUCAUGCUGGCCAUAUGACCGUGGAAACAUCUCCAGGCAAUGAUGGCUCUUUGGCUUAAGAAAUUGAGAUGAGCACCACCCCUAAAGUCGGUCAUGACUAGUGAGAUCUCUUGAAAUAUCAAGGUGCCUCUGACAGCAAACAAUUGCUUCUUCAAAAUUCCCAAGGACCUUUAAGGUAUUUCCCAAGUUGCCACUAGCUUUAGCUUCUCCUAGUUGAUCCCCAAUUGUUCUGAAAAUUGAACAUUUAGUCAGUCCUCCUGCUUUUCUGUUAAAAGUCAGCUCAAUCUUGAGUAGCAGAAACAUUUUUAUUAAACUUGGCAGCAAGUUUAAUAAAGUGGCAGCAACUAUACACUUAUACUUAAACAUUUUUACCCCCAGUCUUAAUUAUCCUAACUCAGUAUAAUCAUUAUUUAUUUUUUCUAGUUCAUUUUUUCUCAGAUACAGAUCUUCAAAUCUACCAGUAUUCCCAACUAAUGUAUAAUCAUUAGAAAAGAUAAAAAGGGUAAAACAACACCUUGUGAUCCAUAUUGGGAAAAGAAUAUAUUCCAUAUAAACAUGAGUGCAAAUGAAUGUAUUUGGACAUAUUUUAUAUGUUUGGCUAAACUGUACUUCACACUUAUAAGCAUAACAUUAUACCGUGGAUAUACUAUGUUCCAGAUAAAAAUAUCUGGAAUUUAUUUUAGAAGUCAGAGGAUCAGAUACCCAAUUAUAUAGUGUAAAAUAUAUUUUAAAAGUAAUGUAAUGUUAUUCUGAGGGUUUAAUUCCUGUAUGUCAUUUCUUGUGAAUAUAAUAUGCCUAAGAUAAAUUACACAUCAUUGUCCUGAAGUAUAAAACUUUCCUAUCUAUUAUUCUGAGUGGUUCACUUCAUGACUAAGAUAAUCUGCCCUAUCCAACAGCUAAGUCUUAUGAGAUGGAGCAAUUUUGAGCAAUAUUUAAUUGAACAAAUUUUUAAUCAUUAUCACAAAAAGUGAUAAUAUCUAGAUAAAGUAUAACUUUAUAGCGGUUGGAAAAAAUAUGAGGCUAUUAUUAUGGGAAGAAGGAACAAUGAGUAUUAAGGUUGGCUUGGAGAAGUUACAUAGUCCUAAAAUGGAAGGAUGUGUAAGAAAGAAAUUCAAAAUACUGUAACCCCACCUUGACUAGGCUUAGUGUAAGACAGGAAAAGGCUUUCAAGAGUUUGUCAUUCCAUUUUACUACAAUAAAGAGUAUUACUGAUA